GACGAACGCUGGCGGCGUGCUUAACACAUGCAAGUCGAACGGAAAGGCCCUGCUUUUGUGGGGUGCUCGAGUGGCGAACGGGUGAGUAACACGUGAGUAACCUGCCCUUGACUUUGGGAUAACUUCAGGAACCUGGGGCUAAUACCGGAUAGGAGCUCCUGCUGCAUGGUGGGGGUUGGAAAGUUUCGGCGGUUGGGGAUGGACUCGCGGCUUAUCAGCUUGUUGGGGGGGUAGUGGCUUACCAAGGCUUUGACGGGUAGCCGGCCUGAGAGGGUGACCGGCCACAUUGGGACUGAGAUACGGCCCAGACUCCUACGGGAGGCAGCAGUGGGGAAUAUUGCACAAUGGGCGGAAGCCUGAUGCAGCAACGCCGCGUGCGGGAUGACGGCCUUCGGGUUGUAAACCGCUUUCGCCUGUGACGAAGCGUGAGUGACGGUAAUGGGUAAAGAAGCACCGGCUAACUACGUG
rnacentral:rRNA from 1 species